AAGUAUUACAGUUGAUUGCAGAUAUGUCCACUAAUACUGAUUCCAGUGGUCCCAGAGAGUUGGAAAUAUAUCCUGAUAGUUCUUUUUAGAAUUUACUGUCCUUUGAAAACAACUUGUUCCACAAUGUUUAAAUAUUUUUGUUUAGGUCUUUAGAGACAAAAUAUGGCUAUUUAUAAUGUAUAGUUACUCUUUUCCAGCUUAGGAAUCAUAUUUUAUACUUGAUAGAAAACUACCAGACAGUGGUGAUUGUUGGAGAAACAGGAUGUGGGAAAAGCACGCAGAUUCCUCAGUACCUGGCAGAAGCUGGCUGGACAGCCGAAGGAAGAGUGGUUGGAGUGACCCAGCCUCGCAGAGUGGCUGCUGUGACAGUUGCAGGAAGAGUAGCUGAAGAAAGGGGUGCAGUACUGGGCCAUGAGGUGGGCUACUGCAUCCGAUUUGAUGACUGUACUGACCCGUUGGCUACAAGGAUUAAGGUGAGGUGUGCAAGCUGCUUUUUGUAGUAUGAAUAUGGAUGAAGGUUAUUUUGGGGGAAAUUAAAAGCAUGCUACCUUCACAUACUGAGGCUGUGGUGAAAGUAUAGGAAAUCAUACUGUCCCUCAGUGACUUUAGCCUACUGGGAAGUACAGAGAUCUUGCAUAGAGUCCCUGAAUGUUAGCCUAGAACUGAACUUGAAAGUAAGAUUUAGCCUUUGGCUUACAUUAUGAAGAGGUUGAGGGCCUUGGAGGUUGAAGGAAUUACUUUGCUUACAUUUAUUCUCCCAUUGGUGAUAGUACCAGGACUCGAAGUUGUCCUGCUUAUGUGUGUUGUAUUUUUUUCUACUGACUAACCUAACUAUCUAAAUAUAGAAGUGAGCCUGUAAAAGACUUAAGAACAGGGACAAAGUGGCAUAAAUGGAU
rnacentral:lncRNA from 1 species